rnacentral:rRNA from 1 species
AGCUCCAAUAGCGUAUAUUAAAGUUGUUGCAGUUAAAAAGCUCGUAGUCCGAUUUUGGACGCGCCUCUGCGGUCUGGCGCAAGUCAGUACUGCGUGGGUGUGUCUUCCUCUCGAAGGCUGCGUGUGCUCUUUGUUGAGUGUGCGUAGGAUUCGGGACGUUUACUUUGAGAAAAUUAGAGUGUUCAAAGCAGGCAUACGCUUGAAUACAUUAGCAUGGAAUAAUGGAAUAGGAUCUCGGUUCUAUUUUGUUGGUUUCUGGAACCUUGAUAAUGAUUAAUAGGGACAGUUGGGGGCAUUAAUAUUUAAUUGUCAGAGGUGAAAUUCUUGGAUUUAUGAAAGAUUAACUUCUGCGAAAGCAUUUGCCAAGGAUGUUUUCAUUG